GUUUGAAUCUAUGGUCAGUGAUCUCCUGAAUAGGUUCAUCGGAGACUAUGUGGAAAACCUCGACAAGUCCCAGUUGAAGAUUGGCAUUUGGGGAGGCAAUGUUGUUCUGGAAAACUUGAAAGUUAAAGAAAAUGCUUUGAGUGAGCUGGAUGUUCCGUUUAAAGUGAAAGCUGGUCAGAUUGGUGAGUACCGGCGGCAGCCCCCCC